GCACAUGACAGUGGUCAUGGCUCUCUGAGUGUCUUCCCUGUUUUGGCAUUUAUAACUGUUAAUCCUAACUUGCAGGAUUUCCCUCCUCAAGCAAAUGAGGACUAGAUUUCUUUUUUUCCUUUUUAUUUUUUUAAAAGACUUAUUUAUUUAUUUAUUUAUUUAUUUAUUUAUUUAUUUAUUUAUUUAUUUAUUUAUUAUAUGUAAGUACACUGUAGCUGUCUUCAGACACUCCAGAAGAGGGUGCCAGAUCUCGUUGUGGAUGGUUGUGAGCCAUCAUGUGGUUGCUGGAAUUUGAACUCAGGACCUUCAAAAGAGCACUCAGUGCUCUUAAGCGCUGAGCCAUCUCCCCAGCCCUAAGGACUAGAUUUCUUGACUGGAUCUUUUGUAACUAACAUUGUUUCAUUCAAAUAGUUUAAAAUGUUUUGAGCUGGUCAUGGAGCAGUGUGUUAAGAUGCCACUAUGUCUACAGGUUCUAUCCCUGGGUCCCAAACAGUAGAAAGAACGUACUCCCAUAAAUUGUCCUCUGACCUCCACAUGUGUCCUGUGUGUUGAGAUUUAGGUGUGUACUCUCAUACUGGUUUAUUGUUAACAAUUUCUAGAGACCAGAUUGAGCCAAAUACAUAAAGCUUCAUUUAAUUUUUUGUUUGGCUGUUUCGGCCUGACUUGCUAAGAGCUUAUAAGCAUGUAGGCAGGUCAUCGACGGUUCCAGGGUUUAUAUCACCACCUGUCUUGGCUAGCAGUUGCCCAGUUCCACUUGUUAUUUAAUUGGCAGGCUAUCUUUACCUUAGUGCACCAUGCUCUAUGUCAGAAGUUCCGUACCAGAUACUGUUACAGUUAGCGUAUUGCCAGAAGCUUCUCAUGGCAGUCUUAGUCUUCGGUCUCUCCACUCCUGAACCCCAAGUUCUCUGUUGUUUGUGUGUGUGUGCUUUUUCCCACUCUAAACCAGAAACUGUAUCCUUUUGGGGGCCAUAGGAGCAUAAUUUUUCAAAUAUUAAGGGACAUACAACAAGGUGGAACCCUAGCGGUGGCUGGCAAGCUCUGUCAGAGUUUGACAAAUAUGUAUAAAAAGAAAAUAUUUGUGUAGUAUGACCUGGAAUGUGGUGAUGUGAGGUAAAGCUUUUCUUAGAGCCAAGGAUACAGCUCAGAGUGCCUCGCAUGCCCAAGCUGAUUUUAAACCAAAUGAAAAUACAAAAGAAUCAGAUGAUCAAAUUGACUAGAAUUGGGUGGAGGUCAGAUAUAUGUCAUAAGCCACAUAACUUAUUUAUGGUGUCUUCCUCCUUCCCUCCCCACUUUUUUGUUCACUCUCUACCACCUUUGUACAUCCAAGGAGACC
rnacentral:lncRNA from 1 species